rnacentral:lncRNA from 1 species
UUCAAUGAUAUGGCUUCCUUUAAAAUCCGAACAUGAAGACAAUCAACAAAGGCAUGAAUGGUAGAAUAAUAAGUUAUCCCACAGUCUUUGCAUGGAGAGUCGUAAGUUGUGCUGUGAACCCCUUGUCAUUGUUUAUGUGGAGCGGCAAGCCUUGAAUUUUCUUGUGCCAGGGCUUAGUACCUUUAAUGAUUAGAUUUCGACACAUCAAAGCCUUGGGUUUGUUGUCAGACCAAGACCAAAGCAUCUAGAUUAAAAUUUUCUUGAGCACAACACUACUUAAAAUAGUGAUUACACACUUAUGGACGAGCUAAAAAAUCCACACGAUUUACAUCACCGAAAGAUGACGCUGAAGUUAUACAACUGACAAGAGAAAAAGUUAGAAGACCAAAACAAUAGAAAAUAUAACUAUUAACUACUAUAAGCUACAACAAUGUAUUCAAAUUAAGAGCAUAAUUACUCAAGAGGCAGCUUUUUAUGAUCAAAAUACUACUUCUUGACACACGACUUCUCAAUUCAACUCGAUGUUUAGGAGUAUUGAUUCUUUCCGAUAGUUUCUUAUAUCACACUAGCUUGAUUUUAUUUCUAGCUAAUGAAAAGAUAUUUCAUUAUAAAGAUACUCUUUGAGCUCAAGAUAUGUAUCAGUUGCUACUAAACUUGUGGAUCAUUGCCUCUAUGCUCAUGAAUAUAUCAAGCUCAUCAAAUGUUGUAUAAAAUCAUCCUAUAUGUGUAUAAGAACACAAAAGUUUUAAUCAUCUAUCCACAAUUCCUUCAUUGAAAUUUUUGAUUUCAUUCCUCAUAAAUUCAACUUUGCUUCGUUUUCUACUCUAAGCAAACUCUUUCCUUGAUAAAAGUACUUCAACGCACGAAUCACUACUGAACAGUGUCUAUCAACUAAUAUCAAUUUCAUUACUAAGGUUGAAUUUGUGUUUACUGUCAAUAUGGGCAAUUAUACAUCUUGAACACUUAUAGUCUCACUCCCGAUUUCUUUAUUACUCGUAAGUCUAUUUUGCCUUUGGAAAACAAUUGGGAAAUUAUCUUGACUCUCAAAGAUAGUGUGCCCCACUUUUCUCUAUGUUUUUGUCUGCUAAGCAUUAUUAUAUUCUUCUAUUAUAUCCGUAAAUAGCUCUUGAGAACUGUUAAGUGAUUAUGUGAAUUAAAAAAAUACAUGUGGCCCCAUAAACUCAGUUGAAUCAUAAUUUCAACUCCACCGACAUAUUUUGACACUCUUUUGAUAUAAGGAAUCAAUCAUUUUUAAGCUCAUGUGGAGUCCCUCUUCAAAUCAAAUCGUAGUGA